CAUGCCUAAAUGGUCUAUGUGGUCGCAUGGCCAUAUUUCCCUCAAUGUCCACUUUUCAAUGUUUUCAUUCCGUGCUCCUUUAUUCACUUUGGAACAACAAUACAACAUCGAUGAUCCACCUCGCCGCAACUCCCCACUAUUACUUUCUUCGCCAAAUCACACCUCCUAUCGUCUCUCAAAUUCAACCUCAGUCUCACAGUUCAUAAAUAUGUGGGCGCGACAGCUGAACCCGAACCCGUUUUCACCUACGUCAAUUCUUUCGCCCCGGCUACAGUUGCCAAAGGUAUCCGGUUAUCACGCCGACAAUGUGGCUCCGUCCGUCAUGGGUGGAUUUUUUUACUUAGAAGCUAUGAUCCUCUAGAGCUGAUGCAGUUGAAGUUUCCCCAUGAAAAGGACUUAUUUUUCGUGCUGGUAAAUCCGGAGCAGGGGCAUUGAUUGCAUCAGUGUCGCAAGGAGACCUGACGGGCUUACGACAGGCAGUCAUCGGACAAAAUAGUGGAGCCAAGGAGAGUGCCAUUGAUUCCAGGAAUGGAGGCUGUGAAGAAGGCUGCAAUUGAGGCUGGUGCAUUUGGAUGCACAAUUAGUGGGACAGGGCCCACUGCAGUGGCUGUGACAGAUGAUGAGGAGACUGGCCGAAUAAUUGGGUAGAGUUGGUGCUAGGCUUGUUGGAAGUGUUCCCAGAUAAUACUACUGACAAUAACUGAGGGUACCUUUUUUUUUUCUUUUUCUUUUUUCCUUGUUUGGUUGUGGAGCUUAUCUUCUCGAGCUUUUACCCUUAAUGGAAGUUGUAGGAAUUUGUCAAUGAAUUGCCAGUGAUAUUGUCUUCCUUCAUAGUCGGAGUUUCUUAUUGAUGCAUUGAUUUGCUUAAUCCCCCACCCAUACAAACAGGUCAUUCUGGACAAUUUGAUUAAAGAGUUCCUGCUAAAGGUACAUUUGCACAUAACAUCCGGAUGUUAUAGUGAAAUCGCCUAUAUGAGUUUUGUAUUAACUUCCAACCACCAAAGUCUUGACUAUAGUUUGGAUGAUUUCAGUUUCUAACAUCUUAAACUUAAGGUUGAAAUGCUAUGGAAACAGAAAUAAUAUGAAGAAUAAUUAUCUGGAAAGAAAAACAAGGAUCUUUUCUUUGUGAUUUCAGGUUGCUCUGUCUCUCUCAGAUGUUUUCUUGCCUUUUGAAAUGGCCUAAUGAGCUGCUAGAAGUCUGCCCUGCUUCAGAAUACCUCUACAUGCUCGGCAGUGUACCCUCAAGCCAGAAAUUGUUUCCAUCUGAUUUCGACGUUUCACUUCACUGUGCUGUUAGCCAAACACUCAAAUCCUCAGGCCUCGAGACCGAACCCCUCAGGGAAGGCUUUAUAAUGUGUCCAACCUGCUUAUAUCGUACCCUUGUGCUCCACGACUUUUUGAAUUACUCCAGGAAAGACAGGAUCCAAAAUUGAAAUUGGUAAACAAUAUGGCACCUGAAAUCAUCGAAGGUAAAGGCUGAAGGGCAUUGGAUUGCCUUUUACUGGUGGACUUUUGGGAAUCUUUUAUAUGAGUUUUCCUUUGGUAAGAGCCCAUUUAAGGGAUCAAGAAAUCCUUUUGUAUGCCAAAAAAUUUGUUGUAUUUCAAGCGUUGAAAUGCUGUUAUUUAAAUUC